rnacentral:lncRNA from 1 species
UUUUUUUUUUUUUUUUUUUAAAGAUUUAUUUAUUAUUAUAUGUAAGUACAUUGUAGCUGUCUUCAGACACACCAGAAGAGGGAGUCAGAUCUUGUUACGGAUGGUUGUGAGCCACCAUGUGGUUGCUGGGAUUUGAACUCUGGACCUUUGGAAGAGCAGUCGGGUGCUCUCACCCACUAAGCCAUCUCACCAGCCCCACUUUUGUUUUCUUUUUUGCCUAACAUAGACUUAGACAUUCUCUUGUUCAUUUCAAAUGAAAAGGCUUAAAGCAAACUGAUUUUUUCCUUUUUUGAAAAAAAAAUUAAUAUAUUCCAAACUGAGAUUUUGUAUUUCAACAUAAAUUUUACUCAUUUGGCUUAACAAGUAUAUGCUGUAUUUACUCAUAAAGCUUGUUAAGUUUCUAACAUUCUGAAUUAUUUAAAUUGUUUUUGCUGACAUUUUGGCCCCAUAUUUAUUUGCCUUUACUCAGAGUCUGUACUGUUAUGGAUACAGGUUAGACACGUCCCCUUUAAACAGCAGUGGGGUUCUUGUUAUUUUUCAGUCUUUUGGAGGCUAGGUUUCUUUCAGUAAAGCUAGGAUGAUCCUGAACUCUUUACCGUCCUGCCCCAGGAACAACAGGUAAGAAUCACAAUCCCUGUAUGCAGUGCUGGGUUAACUCAGCUGCUCCUAGGCUAGGCAGGUGGCACGUUACUGCCUGAGCUGUGUCCUCAGCCCAGCCACAGCUUUUCAGGAUGUUGAUUGGAUUGCUUUGUAUCUUACUUGUACCUUUUGUCUGUGUUUGUUUGAAGCGAGAUCUCCUUUCCCUCUCCUCUUCCUUUUCUCACAUUUCAAAAUGCAUUAAUUCUUUCUUCAGGCCAGCCUGGGGCAGGUCCCCAACAUCCAAGCUCACUGUUCAAUGGAACUUUCCCUAGGUUUCUAAGAUAUAGACUGUAUCUGAGGGAGGCAGUGUGCUCUCUCCUGCCCACCUCUUUCUGGUUGUUUUAGAGUCUUGUUCUAUAGCCCAGACUGGCCUUAACUCACGAUCCUCUAGCUUAACUCCAGAACGCUGGUUUUCAUGCAUACACCAUGAGCGUUUUCUUCUGUAUGUAGUAUU